rnacentral:rRNA from 1 species
UACAGAGGUCUCAAGCGUUGUUCGGAUUCAUUGGGCGUAAAGGGUGCGUAGGUGGCGCUGUAAGUCGGGUGUGAAAUUUCGGAGCUUAACUCCGAAACUGCAUUCGAUACUACGGUGCUUGAGGACUGGAGAGGAGACUGGAAUUCAUGGUGUAGCAGUGAAAUGCGUAGAGAUCAUGAGGAAGACCAGUGGCGAAGGCGGGUCUCUGGACAGUUCCUGACACUGAGGCACGAAGGCCAGGGGAGCAAACGGG